rnacentral:rRNA from 1 species
CAGCAGCCGCGGUAAUACGGAGGGGGCUAGCGUUGUUCGGAAUUACUGGGCGUAAAUGGCGCGUAGGCGGCCAUUCAAGUUAGAUGUGAAAGCCCUGGGCUCAACCUAGGAAUUGCAUUUGAUACUGUUUGGCUUGAGUUCGGGAGAGGUGAGUGGAAUUCCCAGUGUAGAGGUGAAAUUCGUAGAUAUUGGGAAGAACACCAGUGGCGAAGGCGGCUCACUGGACCGACACUGACGCUGAGGCGCGAAAGCGUGGGGAGCAAACAGGAUUAGAUACCCCCGUAGUCCCUGUCUCUUAUAC